rnacentral:rRNA from 1 species
UGGUUGUCGCUGGCCUUUAUUGGCAUGUGCACACCUUCUCUUUCAUCCACAANACCUGUGCACCUGUGAGACGGAGAGCUUGCCCUUCAGCGAGGGUGUUCUCUCCGUCUGCCAAUACACAAACUCAUAUCAUAAUUUGAAUGUAAUCGAUGUAACGCAUCUAUAAACUAAGUUUCAACAACGGAUCUCUUGGCUCUCGCAUCGAUGAAGAACGCAGCGAGAUGCGAUAAGUAAUGUGAAUUGCAGAAUUCAGUGAAUCAUCGAAUCUUUGAACGCACCUUGCGCCCCUUGGUAUUCCUUGGAGCAUGCCUGUUUGAGUAUCAUGAAAUUCUCAAAGCAAAUCUUUUGUUAAUUCGAUUGGUUUUGUUUUGGACUUGGGGGCCUUGCGGAUUCACGUCUGCUCCUCUUAAAAACAUUAGCUGGAUCUCAGUGAGCUCGGUUCCACUCGGCGUGAUAAGUAUCACUCGCUGAGGACACCCCUAAAAAAGGUGGCCGGGAUUCGCAGAUGAACCGCUUCUAAUAGUCUAUUGAAUUGGACAACAUACUUUAUGAUCUGAUCUCAAAUCAGGUAGGACUACCCGCUGAACUUAAGCAUAUC